rnacentral:rRNA from 1 species
UACGUAGGGUGCAAGCGUUGUCCGGAAUUAUUGGGCGUAAAGAGCUCGUAGGCGGUCUGUCACGUCGGCUGUGAAAACCCGAGGCUCAACCUCGGGCCUGCAGUCGAUACGGGCAAACUAGAGUACUGCAGGGGAGACUGGAAUUCCAGGUGUAGCGGUGAAAUGCGUAGAUAUCUGGAGGAAUACCGGUGGCGAAGGCGGCAUCCUGGACCGACAUUGACGCUGAACGGCGAAAGCUAGGGGAGCAAACGGG